ensembl:snRNA U1 U1 spliceosomal RNA
CUACUUGCCUGCAUCCUGAUACCAUGAUCACCAAGGUGGUUCUCCCAGGGCAAGGCUUAUCUCUGGCACUCCGGAUGUGCUGACCCCUGCAGUCUCUUCAAAUGUGGAGAACUUGACUGCAUAAUUUGUGGUAGUGGGGGACUGUAUUCGUAUUUUCUAUUG